rnacentral:tRNA from 1 species
GGGGCUGUAGCUCAACUGGCAGAGCGCCAAUUUGAAAGACCCCGGAUCGCGUGCGCGAAAAUCUGCGCCGUCUCGAAGAGUCCCGCGCCGAGCACAUUCCCCGGGCAAGCAGGGCACUGCGCUGCGGCUAGGGGGCGAGACCGGAGGACGCUGGCAAGAGACCGGGAGUUCCUGGGCUGAGAGAUGCGGGUUCGAACCCCGCCAGCUCCA